GUGGAGCAGGAGCAGGCAAGCCCAACGUCACGAGUGGACGUGAAUGCCAUCCUCGCGCUAUCAGUCCCUGACAGACACGUAGUAAAGCACGCUUAUCCCAGCCGGCCCUGCUGACCAGCACGGUUUAGCAUUCCCCGUCUUUUACAGUGCCCUAAUCUGGGAAUUUCACAAUGUGUCUGGUCUUCCAAACCAGGGCGCAAAUCCUUCCCGCUCCCUCCCUUUACUGGUUGACUCUGUAUUCAUCCAGUUAGCACAUGUGCCCACCCACAAAGCGACAAGUAGAACUUCACACUCUCGCACCCUGUGCUCAUUCACCAACGCCAGCCACACGCAACACUGAGUCACACCAGGAUGCUAAUAAGAGCUGCGGCUUUCUCCUCUGCUUCCUUUUUUUUUUUUUUUUUUUGAGUUAACCUUCUCUGUGAGACCUUCUUUCCAGACGUCCCCCUUGACCCGCUCUCGUCAACCCCAGCCUGAACUGAUGCCAUCCAGCCCAGCUGCGUGAGAGGAUCACCAUCUGCUUGGCCAAAUCCCUUCGCCAACUCACCCGUUCCCCAACGUGCCUCCCGUCUCAUCUCAAAGCUUCCUUCCGCUUGCACAUCAGCAGGAAGCAUCACCUGCUGAUUUACCUCACUACCUGCUGUCAGAAUUACUCUGGGUGUUUGUUUGUUUUUUUUUCCACCGGUCCUAACAAAAAAAAAAAAAUCCCAAUUUUGUUUGGUCUUGACUCGUUUGAUUGUUCCCUGGUUCCCACAGCCGAGGCUGUAUUUUAAGUGUGGACACUUAAUUCUCUCGCACAGACAACCUUGGCUACCAUUUUCUCCCUGACCCGGGCCACUGCACGACAAAGAUGCCGGCAUAAAUCAUACCACCUUUGUUGGUAUCUUGUCAGAUCUUUCAUAAUGUCCUUUUGUAGGGGGUCUGUCAUCUUUACAGCAACAUAAAACCGACAUUGUGCCAGCUUGACCUUAUACUGACUGUAGGCCCAAAAGAAAGACCAUAAAAGAUGUUAGACUACAUUAACUCCCAUUGCCGCAUUCUUCUGUCACAACCCAUUUGCCUCCGAUUUUUGCCAUUACACAGCUUAGGAAAUAUUCUUAUUAUUGUUUUUUUUUCUUUUUGUUUCAGCAGCAGCAGCUCUAUUGAGUUAGGUAACUCAAAACAGGAUGUUUCGCUGUGCAAUUACCGCUCACGAGGAAUGAUGGAGGAACAAACAGAAGCUGAAGUCACAAGGAGAAGUGAUUUCUGUUUCUCUCUGGGUGGAUGUCCAUUGUUUGACGUAAAUCUGCUUCCUGUCCUAUCACAGGACCAAAGAGACUCAGCUGACCCAUGGCUGCCACCCCUGUAUGCUUUUUUUUUCCCUCAGUGUGAUUGUAAAGUAUGAAAAGUUCAUUAUUUUCUCCAAAGCAGAUCAAGACUGGUUCAGCAAAGGUCAGCGACGAUAGUGGUCGUAGGACCCCUUUUUCAGAUGCUCAUCUGUAUUUUGAACUCCAAAGGUUGAACAUCAUCUUUUAAGGGCAUAUUUUUCCGGCAAAUUCAAUUUCUUCCGGUACCGAAA